UACGGAGGGUGCAAGCGUUAUCCGGAUUCACUGGGUUUAAAGGGUGCGUAGGUGGGUUGGUAAGUCAGUGGUGAAAUCUCCGAGCUUAACUUGGAAACUGCCAUUGAUACUAUCAGUCUUGAAUACCGUGGAGGUCAGCGGAAUAUGUCAUGUAGCGGUGAAAUGCUUAGAUAUGACAUAGAACACCAAUUGCGAAGGCAGCUGGCUACACGAGUAUUGACACUGAGGCACGAAAGCGUGGGGAUCAAACAGGAUUAGAUACCCUGGUAGUCCACGCCCUAAACUAUGGAUACUCGACAUUUGCGAUACACAGCAAGUGUCUGAGCGAAAGCAUUAAGUAUCCCACCUGGGAAGUACGAUCGCAAGAUUG
rnacentral:rRNA from 1 species